GCUUGGGUGGCUCAGUCAGUUGAGCGCCUGACUUUGGCUCAGGUCGUGAUCUCGCGGUCUGUGAGUUUGAGCCCCACGUCGGGCU
rnacentral:tRNA from 1 species